rnacentral:rRNA from 1 species
GACGUGCUAAUCUGCGAUAAGCGUCGGUAAGGUGAUAUGAACCGUUAUAACCGGCGAUUUCCGAAUGGGGAAACCCAGUGUGAUUCGUCACACUAUCAUUAACUGAAUCCAUAGGUUAAUGAGGCGAACCGGGGGAACUGAAACAUCUAAGUACCCCGAGGAAAAGAAAUCAACCGAGAUUCCCCCAGUAGCGGCGAGCGAACGGGGAGCAGCCCAGAGCCUGAAUCAGUGUGUGUGUUAGUGGAAGCGUCUGGAAAGGCGUGCGAUACAGGGUGACAGCCCCGUACACAAAAAUGCACAUACUGUGAGCUCGAUGAGUAGGGCGGGACACGUGGUAUCCUGUCUGAAUAUGGGGGGACCAUCCUCCAAGGCUAAAUACUCCUGACUGACCGAUAGUGAACCAGUACCGUGAGGGAAAGGCGAAAAGAACCCCGGCGAGGGGAGUGAAAAAGAACCUGAAACCGUGUACGUACAAGCAGUGGGAGCACGCUUAGGCGUGUGACUGCGUACCUUUUGUAUAAUGGGUCAGCGACUUAUAUUCUGUAGCAAGGUUAACCGAAUAGGGGAGCCGAAGGGAAACCGAGUCUUAACUGGGCGUUAAGUUGCAGGGUAUAGACCCGAAACCCGGUGAUCUAGCCAUGGGCAGGUUGAAGGUUGGGUAACACUAACUGGAGGACCGAACCGACUAAUGUUGAAAAAUUAGCGGAUGACUUGUGGCUGGGGGUGAAAGGCCAAUCAAACCGGGAGAUAGCUGGUUCUCCCCGAAAGCUAUUUAGGUAGCGCCUCGUGAAUUCAUCUCCGGGGGUAGAGCACUGUUUCGGCAAGGGGGUCAUCCCGACUUACCAACCCGAUGCAAACUGCGAAUACCGGAGAAUGUUAUCACGGGAGACACACGGCGGGUGCUAACGUCCGUCGUGAAGAGGGAAACAACCCAGACCGCCAGCUAAGGUCCCAAAGUCAUGGUUAAGUGGGAAACGAUGUGGGAAGGCCCAGACAGCCAGGAUGUU